GGCCCUGUAGUGUAGCGGUUAUCACAUGGGAUUCUGACUAACUGAAAAACUUCCCAUAACCCAGGUUCGAUUCCUGGCAGGGCCU
rfam:Ceriporiopsis subvermispora B unplaced genomic scaffold CERSTscaffold_28, whole genome shotgun sequence.